UGCAGUAUAAUGAAAUUCCCAGCCAAGGGGUCAAAUUGGAGCUGCAGCUUCAGACCUAUAUCACAGCCACAGCAAUGCCAGAUCUGAGCUGCAUCUGCAAACUACUCUGCAGCUUGUGGCAAUACUGGAUCCUUAACCCACUGAGUAAGGCCGGGGAUCAAACCCACAUUCUCACAGAUACUAGUCAGGUUCUUAACCUGCUGAGCCACAGCAGGAAUGCCUUGUCUUUUGUGAUUAGCUUAUUUCACUUAAUGUCCUCAUCAAUGCUGUGGCAUGUGUCAAAAUUUCCUUCCUUUUUAGGGCUGAGUAAUAUUCCAUUGCACGUAUGUACCACACUUUCUUAAUCCACUUACCUGCCCAAGGACACUUGGGUUGCUUCUGCCUUUUGGCUAUGGUGAAUAAUGCCACUACAAACAUAGAUGCACAAAUAUCUCUUCAAGACUCUCCUUUCUAUUCUUUUGGGUGUAUAUCUGGUGGUGCGAUUGGUGGAUUAUAUUGUUUGAUGUAUUCUUUGGCAAAAACCAAUGGAAUAGUUGAAACCUUAGUCUCUCUCUCUCUAAUUUAACCCUGCAGUCACCCAGCUGUUGAUGGCUGCAGAAAAACCACCACAUCAGCUUCUUUCCAUUCAUGACUAAGAACUAGUGCGACCAACCAUCCUGGUUUGCCCAGGACUGGACUACCCCAGUUCUAGCAUUGAAAUCCAGGUCCCAGAAAUCCCCUGAGACCAGGGCACACUGGAACAGCUGGUCAUCUUACCAGAGACCAGCUCUUGAUAGGGCCUCAUGAUCACUUUGCAUUUUCCUAGUCCAUUUACUCGCUACUCCAGUGAAUCACGUUUUCACAUCUACUCACUUCUUAAACCCCAAGAUUUCUUCCCUAUCCUCAUUCUCCUCAUUCUCAAUUGAUUUCCUUGAUUCCUGCCUCACUGAGAAAGUGGACGCAUCCAGAAGAGACCUUCCUAGAUUCCCACCACCACCACCUAUCGUUUCCAGCUUCUGCACCCAUCCCCUGGUGUCCCUCCUAGUACUGCAGAGAAACACCUGUUUUUCUACCAUAUACACAACCACGAACCUCUCAAAAGCAUGUUCCUCAUUUUGUGAACUCCAUCCCAUUCCUUCUGCUAAAAGAUACACUGAGGCACGUUAAGAUUUUUUAGACAUUCAUUUGAGCAGAACACGGACUCCACUCAGGCAGCACCAAACUGGAAGUCAUUAGGAGCACGCCUGACAGGAUCAUGGAGAAGACAAGGAAGCAAAACAAGAAAAUUAUUUGAUUGGCUAUAGCUUACGCAGUUGCAUUAUAUGGGAAAGCCCAGUUGGCUGUUUAUAAUUGGUUGUUCCGCUUAACCUUGAAGCAUUCACACAAGUAGACGCUGGCUUAGAAGUCGGUUUGCUUCCGUAAGCGACCAAGGCCACCCCGGUCUAAUUGGCUGGUUUACUUUUAGCACAUCUCAUCUCAUGGAUGGAGCAUAUGUCUCCAGUCACCCUCCCCUUACUUGCAACAUCAAUUUCCCCUUUACUGGAUCAUUUCUGUUAUGUCUCCCACGUUUAAAAUACAAAAGAAAAACAACAUUCCCUUGACCCCACUUCUAUCAGCUACUACCCCGCACUUCUGCUCUUCUUUACAAACAAAACUCUCUGCAAGGGUUUUCACAUAUUUUCUCCAAUUCUCCUCCCCGAACUCUCUUCAACCCUACUUUUCCCCUGCUAGCCUAUCAAAUCCACUCUCAUCAAGAUCACCAAUGAUAUGCAUGGUGCUAAAUUCAAUGACCAACAGUCAGUCUUCCUCUUACAUGUUAACCACAUUUGAUAGGCUGCAUCUGAUAGAGUGGUAACAGUUGUGGGUCCCUCCUACCCAUACACCUUUUCACUUGGCUUUGGACACCACCCUCUGGGUUUCCCUCCUUCCUCCCGGUUUCAUUUUCUUCUUUUUCUUGAUUUCUUAAAAGCUAGAGUGUUCUGGGUCUCCUUGGGCUAUCAUCUCUUUUCUUUACUUUUUUCAUUUUUUAAAGUGUUAUUGAAGUAUGGUUGAUUUAAAAUGCUGUGUUAAUUUCUGCUGUACAACAAAGGGUUCAGUUAUUCACACACACACAUCCAGUCUUUUUCAGAUUCUUUUCUCAUAUAGGUUAUCACAGGAUAUUGAGUAGAGUUUCCCGUGCAGGUCCCCACUGACCAUCCAUUCCAAAUACAACAGCGUGCAUAUGCUAAUGCCAAGGCUCUCAUAGCUUUUAAAUUUAUACUCAUACAAAGAUGCUGAUGCUGAUGACGCUCAAGUGUACAGACCUCUCUCCUGAAGUUCAGUCACUUAACCAUCUAAUGAACAUCAGCUCUUGGAAGACAUCUCAAGUAUAACUGUACCUAAGUGAAACAUAUCAUCUCUACUACUCUAUUUCCAAUCUUCUCUCCCUGAAGUUUUGCCCAUCGUAAAUGAUGGCAAAUAUAUCCUUUCACAUUCUCAAGCCAGAAUCUUUGGAACCCACUCUUGAAUCUUUUACCUCUCACACUUCGUGUCCAACCCAUCAAAAAAUUUUGUUUGUUCUACUUCAAAAUACACAGAGAGUUGCAUUUUGCAUGUGAAAAUUUCUGCCAUUGUGUUAAGUUGUAGCUGUGAGGCUUGCCUGGCACUUCCUCCUGGAAGUUUCUCUGCUUCAGCUUGGGUAUUUUCAAAAUAAUAGAAAAAGAGAGAAAACUACUGAAUAAAAGGCCACAGUGUGGGUGUGAAACUCUAAUUACUUCUUAGAGUGUCUUUGUUUUCAAUAAAGUUAUGCUUAGAAAUAUAAACACUUAACAGGAAGAAAAAUUAGAAACAAAGUUCCCCCAUAAUGGUUCAGCAUUAUGUUCUAUACAUAAUCCAACACAUUUAUUGCUUAAUGAAGACUCACUGACACAAAUAAUAGUUUCUUAUAUUUAUAUAUGGCUUAUAAUGUGCACAGCGUUGUUAUAUGCAUCUCAUUAAUCCUACUUACUCUUGACAGCAAUCCUAUCAUUCAUUCAAUCCUGGAGACUGCUUUGCAUCCCCCAAAGCUAGCACAGGACCUGGCACACAGUGGUUGUCCAAGGGAUGUUGUCCAAGGGAUAUUUUUGGAAUGGGUUGACUCACUGACAUAGGCUUAUUAGCCUCAUUUUACAGAUUAAAAAAAAAUAGUAAGACAACAACUUGGUCAACAUCAUCAAACUAAUAAUCAAGAGUAAGCUGUCUUCUGAUUUGUGUCAGUGUUCUCCCAAAUUAAUAGAUCUAAAGCUUCUUGAGAUUUGACUUCGUAUUUCUCAUAAUAGAACAAAUGUUUAGGAAAAUUUUGAUUGCUACCAUUAUCUUCUUCCACUAUCUUCCAGAGUAACUUAAAGGAAAGAGCAAUUUUCCAUUAUUUUCAGUCAUGGAUACACCUAGGAAAAUAGCAAAAUAGGUGUAGGCUCCUUGGUGACUGUAAGUGCUAUGAAGUGCCCUCUUAAUUGUUUCAGGAAUAUCCUACUUUAUUUAGGCUGGGCAUAUUGAUUAUACUAAAUCGAUGAUAUCCACCAAAAACAUGUAUACCUUGCUCAUAACUCUACACAUGUGAGGGGUGGGAAUAGGGAGGGGAAGCAGACAACACUCAAUCUUAACGCUGAGUUUCUGCACAUUCCCUCUCUACCAGCCAUUUCUGUCAAAUUCUUCUCUUUAUUUA
ensembl:lncRNA